AGCAGCCGCGGUAAUUCCAGCUCCAAUAGCGUAUAUUAAAGUUGUUGCAGUUAAAAAGCUCGUAGUUGAAUUUCGGGAUCAAAUUGUCGGUCGUGCCUCGGUACGUACUGGUAUUAUUGGUUCCUACCUUCUGAAGAACCGCGAUGUCAUUAACUUGGUGUCGUGGGGAAUCAGGACUGUUACUUUGAAAAAAUUAGAGUAUUUAAAGCAAGCUCGCGCUUGAAUACAUUAGCAUGGAAUAAUGAAAUAGGACGUUUGAUUCUAUUUUGUUGGUUUCUAGGAUCGACGUAAUGAUUAAUAGGGAUAGUUGGGGGCAUUAGUAUUCAAUUGUCAGAGGUGAAAAUUCUUGGAUUUAUUGAAGACUAACUACUGCGAAAGCAUUUGCCAAGGAUGUUUUCAUUAAUCAAGAACGAAAGUUAGGGAUCGA
rnacentral:rRNA from 1 species